GUUAGUAUAAAAAAAGUUUGAGAGAUGAGAAUAAUAUAAAAUGCAUUAUAAAGUGAAGUAAAAAGAAUUGUUUUAUAUAUUUUGUUUAAUAGUGGCUUUAAUUUAAUUUUGCUCGAGAGAAUAUCUUGUGACAGACAGUGAAGGAUUUAGCUGGCCUUUAUACUCUUUCUCUUUCUCUCUUCCUCUCUCUCUCAUACGAAUUUCAGUUUUCGAUGAAAAAAUUGUAUAUCUCCUGACUAGAAUUCGUGUUUCUUCCGAGAAAAAUUAAUUAAAAUAUUAAUUAAAAUAGUUAGAGUGUUUUCUCAUUUUAACAAAAAAAAAAGGCUAGUAUUUUUGAAUAAGACUUCAGUACUUUACUAUUAUUUCAUUAGAACGACUCUGGUUUGAUGAAAAUAAAAUAUACAACUUUGAACGGAAACCACACGUCGAGCAAAAGGACAAAAGCCCGCUCGAUCUCGAUUUUCAGUACGAAUACGGACAGCGAAAGCAUGGCCCAUCGAGCCUUUCCGAACAGCGGCGUGCUAUGUGUUCGCCGAGAAGUGUCAGAAAAUUACCACAGGGACAACGGGCCUGUGGCAGCCAAGCGUUCGCAGUGACAUCGCUUUGAGAUCCUUCGAUAUCGGCCCUACCUAUCAUGGCGAAGCUUUGGAUUGUUUAGCCACUGACAGGGAACGUGAUCGGGGUUCUACCUGUCAAUCCAUGCAGCAUCAAGCAAACGUGAAACCUAAUACUGACCUCUUUAGGCUUGAAGAU
rnacentral:ncRNA from 1 species